ensembl:lncRNA
CAGUUUGUUUGAUGACACUGAUGAAGUCCACUUGCUGAAACGUGUUGGUCUAACAAUAAAGUUGUUCAGCAUAAUAUAAGUUUGGUGGAGUAUUACCAAAUGAGUGUGUGGAGACAUGAAUGAAGGACAACAUGAGGCAAGAACUUUUACUAGCUGCACUGGAAAACAUAUUCAGACAAGCUACACAAAGCUGUUCCACCACAAAGCUUCACCGCCACUGGAGAGGUCGUCAUUAUGUACAGAAGCUCCGGGAGGUCUGUGUUGUAUAAAGAGAGGGGAGAAGUGUGAGUCUCUGGGUAUUAACCCAUUAUUAAUGGUGACUGGUGCCUGGCAGCACGACGCAGCACGACUGAUUCUGAGAGAGAGAGGCAUCUGUCAGACAACACAGAAUGGAGGAAAUGUCAGAAGAUGAGCUCUGUAAUCAGGCAUCCCAUCCUGAUGCAUGUCAUAUAUGUAUUGGACAGACAGAUGGAGCGCAGAACCACUUCCUGUCCCGUC